UACGUAGGGGGCAAGCGUUGUCCGGAGUACUGGCGUAAAGCGCACGCAGGCGGUCUCUUAAGUUUGGAGUGACAGUUGGUGGCUUAACUGCCAAAGUGCUUCGAAAACUGAGAGACUUGAGGGCUUCAGAGGGACACGGAAUUCCGGGUGGAGUGGUGGAAAUGCGUAGAAGAUCCGGAGGAACACCAAAGGCGAAAGGCAGUGUCCUGGGGAGUACCUGACGCUCAGGUGCGAAAGCCAGGGAGCG
rnacentral:rRNA from 1 species